UUGUGCAUGGGCAUUGUAGUAUGGACCCCUCCACCCUGGAUAAGCAGGUUGACCAUAGUCAUGGUUUGCAGGUGGCUGUUGCUGGGUGUGUGGAGGUGGGUACGGACUACCAGCUUGAGGAGGUGGGUAUGGACUACCAGCUUGAGGAGCGUAUGGACUGGUAGGUUGAGGUGGCACAAUGUAAGGAGAUGGCAUCUGCUGCGUUGAGCUAUAGGGGGGAGGGUGAGAAUAUCCAGCCAUUGCUGGCUGCUCAGGAGGAUGGUAGUACGGUGGUGUUUGAGAACGAGGAUCUGUUGG
rnacentral:lncRNA from 1 species